rnacentral:tRNA from 1 species
GCGCCUGUAGCUCAGCCGGAUAGAGCAACUGGCUUCGAACCAGUAGGCCGCAGGUUCGAAUCCUGCCGGGCGCGCCA